rnacentral:ncRNA from 4 species
ACGCAAUGUGAUUUCUGCCCAGUGC